UGGGGAAUCUUGCGCAAUGGGCGAAAGCCUGACGCAGCGACGCCGCGUGAGGGAUGAAGGCCCUCGGGUUGUAAACCUCUUUCAGGGGGGACGAAGCGAAAGUGACGGUACCCUCAGAAGAAGCCCCGGCCAACUACGUGCCAGCAGCCGCGGUAAUACGUAGGGGGCGAGCGUUGUCCGGAUUUAUUGGGCGUAAAGAGCUCGUAGGCGGCCGUGCAAGUCGGACGUGAAAUACCACGGCUCAACCGUGGGGAGUCGUUCGAUACUGCUCGGCUAGAGGCAGGUAGGGGAGAGUGGAAUUCCUGGUGUAGCGGUGAAAUGCGCAGAUAUCAGGAGGAACACCGGUGGCGAAGGCGGCUCUCUGGGCCUGUCCUGACGCUGAGGAGCGAAAGCUGGGGGAGCGAACAGG
rnacentral:rRNA from 1 species